ACCCCUUACCAUUCCGAACAGGGAAGUUAAGCCCGUCAGCGCCGAUGGUACUGCCUCACAAGGUGGGAGAGUAGGUCGCCGCCUCCU
rnacentral:rRNA from 1 species